rnacentral:rRNA from 1 species
GACGAACGCUGGCGGCGUGCCUAAUACAUGCAAGUUGAGCGCUGAAGGUUGGUACUUGUACCAACUGGAUGAGCAGCGAACGGGUGAGUAACGCGUGGGGAAUCUGCCUUUGAGCGGGGGACAACAUUUGGAAACGAAUGCUAAUACCGCAUAAAAACUUUAAACACAAGGUUUAAGUUUGAAAGAUGCAAUUGCAUCGCUCAAAGAUGAUCCCGCGUUGUAUUAGCUAGUUGGUGAGGUAAAGGCUCACCAAGGCGAUGAUACAUAGCCGACCUGAGAGGGUGAGCGGCCACAUUGGGACUGAGACACGGCACAAACUCCUUCGGGAGGCAGCAGUAGGGAAUCGUCGGCAAUGGACGAAAGUCUGACCGAGCAACGCCGCGUGAGUGAAGAAGGUUUUCGGAUCGUAAAACUCUGUUGGUAGAGAAGAACGUUGGUGAGAGUGGAAAGCUCAUCAAGUGACGGUAACUACCCAGAAAGGGACGGCUAACUACGUG